CAGUGUUCAUUGGACAUUUAACUAUAUACACAAUAUUUUUAAAUUAAUCAACAAAACAAUAUUUAUAACAAUUUAACAUCACAGAUCCUGGAUGUCUCCUGUCAGCAGACAGAGAUUGUGCAGGAUGCAGCAAUCACUUUGGGGGCAAAUAGAGGCUGGAUCUCCAAAGCCCAGAGGAAGAUGGCUCUCCAGCGGGUUUUGAGCACCCGAAGGUUCCGCUCAAUCACGUUCCUGGCCUUGGCAUGGUGCCUGUUGAAUCUGCUUCAACUUGGCCUGUUGAUUAAAAUACAGGAUGGCAGUAUGUGGUCAUGAGGGUCACAGGAUGCUGUAGGCAAGGGGGAGGAAGCAGCCAGCUGCAGGUGGGAGGAUUCUGACAUGGCACCCAUCUAUGCCACCAGCCGCACAGUGGAGCCCCCACCUCCGCCAUCUGUCCUGGCUUGGGGAAAUGGAUGACUCGGUGAAGGAUGGCCAUCAUCUCCUCCACUACAUUGUGGACUAUUCUGCCAACUGUGGCUCUGGGUAUGGUGAAGAUGUCUGCUGCCACUCUGUAGGAAGUGCCUUCAUGCCAGCCAGUACAGAGACACAGCCAUCUCGAUGUCAUGGCUCCAUCCAUGAGGCUGUUGCCGAGGCAACAUCUGGACCAGCACGUUGAUGGAUCUCUGGAGUCUAAAAGCUGGUUUCAGGUUGGCCUCAGAUAAAAGCUGGUUUUCAGGUCGGCCUCAGAGAAGAACGUGCAGAGGAUCGGCACAUGGUUGUUUAUUUGCACAUACCUCCGAGGAGUUUGAUCCUGUUUUUUAAAAAAAAAAGGGAAAUGUAUAUAUUUAAUAUCUAUUCCACUUAUUUAUUAAUUAUUUAUUCAUUAUCAAUUAACAUCCCAAUAUUCAUUUAUUUAUUCG